CUUCCUCUUUGAUUGCUCACUCCGGGGGAAGCCAGCUGCUAUAUUGUGAGGCAGCCCUUCAGAGACGCCCAUGUAAGUGAGCCUGGAAGAAGAUCUUCUGAGGCAUUCCAACAACAAGAUGAAUAAGCUUGGAAGCAGAUGCUCCCCCAGUUGAGCUCAUAGUCCCAGACAACAGCUUAACUACACCCUCAUGAGAGACCUUGAGCCAGAGGUACCCAGCAAAACCACAACUGGAUUCCUGACCCACAGAAAUUUCCUGCAGACUACGCACAGGAUCCUCAGUUUACAGAUGAGAAAACUGAUGUUCUGGGUGUUCAGAUAAACUCCCAGAGGCAGACGGAUGAUUAGCAGUAAUAGAUACAACUCCAAAGUCAAGACUCCUCUAUCCAGGACACCACACUGUCUCUUUUGCUUCUUUGUAUUUUCUGACACAUAUUUGGUGCUCAAUAAAUGU